AGGACGAACGCUGGCGGCGCGCCUAACACAUGCAAGUCGAGCGAGAACCAGGGCUUGCCCUGGGGACAGCGGCGAACGGGUGCGUAACACGUGAGCAACCUGCCCCAAAGACCGGGACAACCCGAGGAAACUCGGACUAAUACCGGAUGCCCUCACCGGGUCGCAUGGUCUGGUGAGGAAAUGGAUUCCGCUUUGGGAUGGGCUCGCGGUCUAUCAGCUUGUUGGUGGGGUAACGGCCUACCAAGGCGACGACGGAUAGCUGGUCUGAGAGGACGAUCAGCCACACUGGGACUGAGACACGGCCCAGACUCCUACGGGAGGCAGCAGUGGGGAAUCUUGCGCAAUGGGGGAAACCCUGACGCAGCGACGCCGCGUGCGGGAUGAAGGCUUCGGUUGUAACCGCUUCAGCAGGACGAAUUGACGGUACCUGCAGAAGAAGGCCCGGCCAACUACGUGCCAGCAGCCGC
rnacentral:rRNA from 1 species